rnacentral:lncRNA from 1 species
AUGAAACGACGACAAAUCAUGCCCCUGGAAAGAUAUAAGCUUAUCUACUACUUUAUCACAAUGCCACGCCACUUUCAAGGUGGGAGGAACAGUCACAGCCAAUAUGUCUAUAGUCCAGUUCAUGUAUUGCAGUGCCGAUUGAUACUUUCUGUGGGCAUUCACAAGCAAAACUCAGGCAGUCUCACUUUCACAUGAGGAUUGUCCGAAUUAUAUUGUGUCAUCACCUUACAAAGCAAAAGUUAGCAUACCUUUUGCCAUUAUUUAUUCUCUCCACUGAUGUUAAAAUCAUAUGAUUGAUUAGAUUCAUAAUUAAUUUGUGAUUGAUUGUGCUAAACUUAGUUGGCCUUACCAAACUUUGUUGGCUGCUCCUGUGCAUUGUAACUGACUGGUAGAAAUACAAUUCUCUUCUUCCUUUCUUCUUUUUCAACAACUAACAUGUUUUGUUGUGCCCACAUUCAUUUUGAUAUAUAUAUGUGUGUGUGUGUGUACG